CUUGAUCGAGCCCAACAACAACGGGCGGUCCUGCGGCCGGUCCUGCCCGUACGUGGCCAGCAACGCCUGCGCCUC
rnacentral:antisense_RNA from 1 species